GGAUCUCUGUUUGGAGAUUCUUCCCUUGUGGAGCUUUUCCUGUGAGCUGAGAUCUUUGGAGACAGAUCUCCAGAUGAUUUGCAGCAUUCAGCUGCCUGCUAAGUUACAGAUGGGGAAGAGCAUCCCAGAGAAUUUUCUAGACUCAGAGGACCUGUGUAUGUAAACCACAGAGAGGAAGAGGGAAAAGUGACUUAAGCAAAAAUGACAACUUUACUGUCCCAAAUGGCACUGACUUCUGAAGCGCGAAUGAAAACCUUUUAUCUGAAUUAAAGAGGACCUCUAAAUGGAAGAAACGCCUGGGAUAACAUAUGUAGUACUUUUAUUUGGCACAUAAUUGUGCGUGUAGCACACAACUUUCUUCAGUUGAGCCACAUUUCCUUAUUGACUUUACUGGGAAUAAAUUGGAAUCUGGAAACCUUCUUUCACAGUAAGGUUGUGAUUAAGACUGCACAACAUGAGGUUGUUUCCAGCAUCUGCUGUAGCAAGGAGGAGCCAUGGCUACGUAUGUGGUGCUGGCAUCACUUCUCCAGCUCAGGUUUACCUGUGAGCCUCAGCCCUGCCAGGCUCUUGCCUGGCAUGCGCAUGGUGCUGCUGCUUCUGUGCCUGCGUUGUUAGCCUCUAUCAGCACUAAGCCUGGCUGCAUGUAGUUGAAUGGCAUGUUGCCAGUGUGAAUGCACCCUAAAAAAUAUAUCCCCUUUGGUAAGUGGAGGAUGCUCUAAACAAGAUGAGACUACAUGUAAUUUUUCUAUAGCAGAAGAAACAAGCUUUCUACAAUUGCCUGCUAGGAUGCUGAAGGUAUGGUUUAAGGGCAAGGAUUCCUUUUUUCCCCAACACAUUACAAUUCAUUACAGAGUAAGAUGAUAACAGAAGCUCUGAGUAUGCUGUUCUCCCUGCACCACCCUGGGAAGCAAUAAAUUACAGAGUAUUAUGUUCCCUAUCAGUUCCACCCAUCACAGGGUUGUCUUGCUGAAGACGUGAUAAAGAGAAACAUCUCAGAUAAAGUAACUCAAUUAACUGCUGCCAUUUGGAAUCUGAAAAAU
rnacentral:lncRNA from 7 species